rnacentral:rRNA from 1 species
GCUCAACCGAGGAAGUGCUUCGAAAACUGGUAAACUUGAGUGCAGAAGAGGAAAGUGGAACUCCAUGUGUAGCGGUGGAAUGCGUAGGUAUAUGGAAGAACACCAGUGGCGAAGGCGGCUUUCUGGUCUGUAACUGACGCUGAGAUUCGAAAGCAUGGGUAGCAAACAGGAUUAGAUACCCUGGUAGUCCAUGCCGUAAACGAUGAGUGCUAAGUGUUGGAGGGUUUCCGCCCUUCAGUGCUGCAGCUAACGCAUUAAGCACUCCGCCUGGGGAGUACGACCGCAAGGUUGAAACUCAAAGGAAUUGACGGGGGCCCGCACAAGCGGUGGAGCAUGUGGUUUAAUUCGAAGCAACGCGAAGAACCUUACCAGGUCUUGACAUACCAUGAAAAGCUUAGAGAUAAGUCUUUCCCUUCGGGGACAUGGAUACAGGUGGUGCAUGGUUGUCGUCAGCUCGUGUCGUGAGAUGUUGGGUUAAGUCCCGCAACGAGCGCAACCCUUAUUAUCAGUUGCCAGCAUUCAGUUGGGCACUCUGGUGAGACUGCCGGUGACAAACCGGAGGAAGGUGGGGACGACGUCAAAUCAUCAUGCCCCUUAUGACCUGGCUACACACGUGCUACAAUGGUCGGUACAACG